UACGAGGGGGGCAAGCGUUGUUCGGAAUUAUUGGGCGUAAAGGGCGCGUAGGCGGCUUUUCAAGUCAGAGGUGAAAGCCCGGGGCUCAACCCCGGAAUUGCCUUUGAAACUGUAAAGCUUGAGUGUCGGAGGGGAUAGCGGAAUUGCUUAUGUAGAGGUGAAAUUCGUAGAUAUUAGCAGGAACACCGGUGGCGAAGGCGGCUAUCUGGACGACAACUGACGCUGAGGCGCGAAAGCGUGGGGAUCAAACAGG
rnacentral:rRNA from 1 species